UUUAAUUUUGUCGAGAACUAGUGCAAACAAACAAGAGAACCAAACCAAUUCUAAAACAACCCAACACAACAAGAGGACAAAAAAUCUACCCACAAAAUCCAAAUAUUGACUAAUAAUUAGAAAUAGCCAAGUAACAAAGGGGAUAGGAAACCAACCAAACACAUAGGGAUGAGAGUGACGUGAACAACACCGAUCCAAAAUAAAAGAAAAUUGAGAGAGAGAACAAACGGAACCGAAACUUACUGCAUAGAUGAAGGAGCAAUUGCCAUCAAACUUCCAACACCCUAAAGAAAUCAACCAAGCUCUUUGAUACCAUGUUAAGAAAAGAGAUUAUUCAUAGAGAAAGAGAAGCGGAGGCUAGGGUUUUUA
rnacentral:lncRNA from 1 species